AUUGAACGCUGGCGGCAGGCCUAACACAUGCAAGUCGAACGGUAACAGGAAGAAGCUUGCUUCUUUGCUUACGAUUGGCGGACGGGUGUGUAAUGUCUGGGACACUGCCUGAUGGAGGGGGAUACCUACUGGAACCGUUAGCUAAUACCGCUUAACGUCGCAAGCCCAAAGAGUGGGACCUUCGGGCCUCUUGCCAUCGGUUCUGCCCAGAUGGGAUUAGCUUGUAGGUGGGGUAACGGCUCACCUAGGCGACGAUCCCUAUCGGGUCUGAGAGGAUGACCAGCCACACUGGAACGGAGACACGGUCCAGACUCCUAGGGGAGGCAGCAGUGGGGAAUAUUGGAAAAGGGGCGCAAGCCUGAUGAAGCCAUGCCGCGUGUAUGAAGAAGGCUUUCGGGUGGUAAAGUACGUUCAGAGGGGAGGAAGGGAGUAAAGUUAAUACCUUUGCUCAUUGACGUUACCCGCAGAAGAAGCAACGGCUAACUCCGUG
rnacentral:rRNA from 1 species